rnacentral:rRNA from 1 species
AGUGAACGCUGGCGGUAGGCCUAACACAUGCAAGUCGAACGGCAGCACAGUAAGAGCUUGCUCUUACGGGUGGCGAGUGGCGGACGGGUGAGGAAUACAUCGGAAUCUACUUUUUCGUGGGGGAUAACGUAGGGAAACUUACGCUAAUACCGCAUACGACCUACGGGUGAAAGCAGGGGAUCUUCGGACCUUGCGCGAUUGAAUGAGCCGAUGUCGGAUUAGCUAGUUGGCGGGGUAAAGGCCCACCAAGGCGACGAUCCGUAGCUGGUCUGAGAGGAUGAUCAGCCACACUGGAACUGAGACACGGUCCAGACUCCUAAGGGAGGCAGCAGUGGGGAAUAUUGGACAAUGGGCGCAAGCCUGAUCCAGCCAUACCGCGUGAGUGAAGAAGGCCUUCGGAUUGUAAAGCCCUUUUGUUGGGAAAGAAAAGCAGCAGGUUAAUACCCCGCUGUUCUGACGGUACCCAAAGAAUAAGCACCGGCUAACUUCGUG